AUUGAACGCUGGCGGCAUGCUUUACACAUGCAAGUCGAACGGUAACAGCACUUCGGUGGCUGACGAGUGGCGCACGGGUGAGUAAUACAUCGGAACGUGCCUAGUAGUGGGGGAUAACUACUCGAAAGAGUAGCUAAUACCGCAUGAGAUCUAAGGAUGAAAGCAGGGGACCUUCGGGCCUUGCGCUACUAGAGCGGCUGAUGGCAGAUUAGGUAGUUGGUGGGAUAAAAGCUUACCAAGCCGACGAUCUGUAGCUGGUCUGAGAGGACGACCAGCCACACUGGGACUGAGACACGGCCCAGACUCCUACGGGAGGCAGCAGUGGGGAAUUUUGGACAAUGGGCGCAAGCCUGAUCCAGCAAUGCCGCGUGCAGGAUGAAGGCCUUCGGGUUGUAAACUGCUUUUGUACGGAACGAAAAGCCCUCUUCUAAUACAGGAGGGUCAUGACGGUACCGGAAGAAUAAGCACCGGCUAACUACGUG
rnacentral:rRNA from 1 species